rnacentral:lncRNA from 1 species
UAUUUGUCUCCUCAUUGAUCUGUAAGAAAUAAUCAACACAUAAUUCCCUUUAUAUUACUAUUUAUAUUGUGCUAACAUCAAUUAUAAAAAAUAUUUCCUACCUAAGAUUUGUGGUCGUCUAUUUAUCUCCCUUAAUUAUCAAUCUAAUUAUACACAAAUCCUUAUUUUACAACUUAAAAGAAACCACAAUAACCCAAACAAUCAAACACCAAAAACUAGAAUCCCAAAAAAGACGAAUUAUUAAUGAUCACCUCUCUUUUUGUCUAAUCUAACAAAUAAACUUCAAAACAAAUAUACCAAACCAAUCAACUCAACUAAAAUUCAACGACACAUACAGUGGUCAGCUAAACAAAUACAAACUACACGGCCAGCUAUUUAACAAUUUACAAACUUACUUUCGCAGAUGCUUACGAAGAAGACGAAGACGAUAACCAAGAUCAGUGAAAUUAUCUAAACAAAACAGCAGAGUAAGUUACAAACUCUGAUAAAUACAACUAACAAUGAUUUUUGUUUACAUAUUACCCAUAAAAAAAAAAAAAAAAAACAACAACACAAUGAUUUUUGUUUACAUAUUACCCAUCAAAAAAAAAAAAAAAAAACACAACCACACCAGGAGAUACAAGAGACAAUCCCAACUGACACAAAGGCGACAACAACAUCCCCACCUGCUCACUCCUCUUGUCUUAUGAAAAUAGCUUACAUGCUCAAUGUCAACAGACCAAUGCUAUUGUCUUCUUAUGAAAAAUAAAUAUAUUCGUUUAAAACCCAUUAAAGCCCAAAUAUUAAUUGUCACUCAUUUUGUAGUUAUUUCUACAAGUCUUCAUGUAUUUGUUUUAAAGGUCCAGUAAAAGCAACAAGUUUAAAAAUAAAAAAAAACAUAUAACCAACAUAAUAAGAAUAAUAAAAAAUUAUUACUUAAAACACACAACUUACACAACUAAACUGGAGAAAAAAUAUCCAGAAACAAAAGGUAUUCUCAACAACCUUAAUAUAAUUUAUGUAAUCUCAACAAUACAAGUAACAAAUUAAAAAGACAAACAAACAAUAAGUCUUAGUGACACAGCAAACAACACCACGAACUAUAUCAAUCACAUUACUAACACAAUUUAGUUUUUC